rnacentral:rRNA from 1 species
GCGUUGUUCGGAAUUACUGGGCGUAAAGGGCUCGUAGGCGGUCAAUUAAGUCAGACGUGAAAUCCCUCGGCUUAACCGGGGAACUGCGUCUGAUACUGGUUGGCUUGAAUCCGGGAGAGGGAUGUGGAAUUCCAGGUGUAGCGGUGAAAUGCGUAGAUAUCUGGAGGAACACCGGUGGCGAAGGCGGCAUCCUGGACCGGUAUUGACGCUGAGGCGCGAAAGCGUGGGGAGCAAACAGG